rnacentral:misc_RNA from 1 species
UUGAGUUAGGGUUCCUCUUUUGGGCCCGAACCUCCAACCCUUUGUUUAAAUGACCUUUGUUGCUUUGGUAGACCUGGCUCCUUUUUCGGAAGUGAGGCCUACCGGAGGGAAGAGAUUUCCCCUCAUUUGUUUGAUGGGAAGGAAUCAACCUUCUGGUUCGUUUGUCUACCAAUAGCCAAUUUAUUAAAUUCUUUCUUAACCAUGAAGUCUGAAUCUUUAAUUAUAAAUUUAAUUA